AUUGAACGCUGGCGGCAGGCCUAACACAUGCAAGUCGAACGAGUGGCGGACGGGUGAGUAAUGUCUGGGAAACUGCCUGAUGGAGGGGGAUAACUACUGGAAACGGUAGCUAAUACCGCAUCCCAUCGGAUGGGCCCCGAUGGGAUUAGCUAGUAGGUGGGGUAAAGGCUCACCAAGGCGACGAUCCCUAGCUGGUCUGAGAGGAUGACCAGCCACACGGGAACUGAGCCACGGUCCAGACUCCUACGGGAGGCAGCAGUGGGGAAUAGUGCACAAUGGACGCAAGCCUGAUGCAGCCAUGCCGCGUGUAGGAAGAAGGCCUUCGGGUUUUAAAGUACUUUCAGCGGGGAGGCGUUACCCGCAGAAGAAGCACCGGCUAACUCCGUGCCAGCAGCCGCGGUAAUUC
rnacentral:rRNA from 1 species